CAGCCGUAAACUAUGCGCGUUAGGUGUACUGGUGACCACGAGUCACCGGGGUGCCGAAGGGAAACCGUGAAACGUGCCGCCUGGGAAGUACGGUCACAAGGCUGAAACUUAAAGGAAUUGGCGGGGGGAGCACCACAACGGGUGGAGCCUGCGGUUUAAUUGGACUCAACGCCGGAAAUCUCACCGGAUAGGACAGCAGAAUGAAGGCCGAGAUGAAGACUCUGCUAGAUUUUCAGAGAGGUGGUGCAUGGCGUCAGUGACU
rnacentral:rRNA from 1 species